rnacentral:rRNA from 1 species
GGUUAAGCGACUAAGCGUACACGGUGGAUGCCCUGGCAGUCAGAGGCGAUGAAGGACGUGCUAAUCUGCGAUAAGCGUCGGUAAGGUGAUAUGAACCGUUAUAACCGGCGAUUUCCGAAUGGGGAAACCCAGUGUGAUUCGUCACACUAUCAUUAACUGAAUCCAUAGGUUAAUGAGGCGAACCGGGGGAACUGAAACAUCUAAGUACCCCGAGGAAAAGAAAUCAACCGAGAUUCCCCCAGUAGCGGCGAGCGAACGGGGAGCAGCCCAGAGCCUGAAUCAGUGUGUGUGUUAGUGGAAGCGUCUGGAAAGGCGCGCGAUACAGGGUGACAGCCCCGUACACAAAAAUGCACAUGCUGUGAGCUCGAUGAGUAGGGCGGGACACGUGGUAUCCUGUCUGAAUAUGGGGGGACCAUCCUCCAAGGCUAAAUACUCCUGACUGACCGAUAGUGAACCAGUACCGUGAGGGAAAGGCGAAAAGAACCCCGGCGAGGGGAGUGAAAAAGAACCUGAAACCGUGUACGUACAAGCAGUGGGAGCACAGAGCAAUCUGUGUGACUGCGUACCUUUUGUAUAAUGGGUCAGCGACUUAUAUUCUGUAGCAAGGUUAACCGAAUAGGGGAGCCGAAGGGAAACCGAGUCUUAACUGGGCGUUAAGUUGCAGGGUAUAGACCCGAAACCCGGUGAUCUAGCCAUGGGCAGGUUGAAGGUUGGGUAACACUAACUGGAGGACCGAACCGACUAAUGUUGAAAAAUUAGCGGAUGACUUGUGGCUGGGGGUGAAAGGCCAAUCAAACCGGGAGAUAGCUGGUUCUCCCCGAAAGCUAUUUAGGUAGCGCCUCGUGAAUUCAUCUCCGGGGGUAGAGCACUGUUUCGGCAAGGGGGUCAUCCCGACUUACCAACCCGAUGCAAACUGCGAAUACCGGAGAAUGUUAUCACGGGAGACACACGGCGGGUGCUAACGUCCGUCGUGAAGAGGGAAACAACCCAGACCGCCAGCUAAGGUCCCAAAGUCAUGGUUAAGUGGGAAACGAUGUGGGAAGGCCCAGACAGCCAGGAUGUUGGCUUAGAAGCAGCCAUCAUUUAAAGAAAGCGUAAUAGCUCACUGGUCGAGUCGGCCUGCGCGGAAGAUGUAACGGGGCUAAACCAUGCACCGAAGCUGCGGCAGCGACACUGUGUGUUGUUGGGUAGGGGAGCGUUCUGUAAGCCUGCGAAGGUGUGCUGUGAGGCAUGCUGGAGGUAUCAGAAGUGCGAAUGCUGACAUAAGUAACGAUAAAGCGGGUGAAAAGCCCGCUCGCCGGAAGACCAAGGGUUCCUGUCCAACGUUAAUCGGGGCAGGGUGAGUCGACCCCUAAGGCGAGGCCGAAAGGCGUAGUCGAUGGGAAACAGGUUAAUAUUCCUGUACUUGGUGUUACUGCGAAGGGGGGACGGAGAAGGCUAUGUUGGCCGGGCGACGGUUGUCCCGGUUUAAGCGUGUAGGCUGGUUUUCCAGGCAAAUCCGGAAAAUCAAGGCUGAGGCGUGAUGACGAGGCACUACGGUGCUGAAGCAACAAAUGCCCUGCUUCCAGGAAAAGCCUCUAAGCAUCAGGUAACAUCAAAUCGUACCCCAAACCGACACAGGUGGUCAGGUAGAGAAUACCAAGGCGCUUGAGAGAACUCGGGUGAAGGAACUAGGCAAAAUGGUGCCGUAACUUCGGGAGAAGGCACGCUGAUAUGUAGGUGAAGUCCCUCGCGGAUGGAGCUGAAAUCAGUCGAAGAUACCAGCUGGCUGCAACUGUUUAUUAAAAACACAGCACUGUGCAAACACGAAAGUGGACGUAUACGGUGUGACGCCUGCCCGGUGCCGGAAGGUUAAUUGAUGGGGGCAGCGCAAGCGAAGCUCUUGAUCGAAGCCCCGGUAAACGGCGGCCGUAACUAUAACGGUCCUAAGGUAGCGAAAUUCCUUGUCGGGUAAGUUCCGACCUGCACGAAUGGCGUAAUGAUGGCCAGGCUGUCUCCACCCGAGACUCAGUGAAAUUGAACUCGCUGUGAAGAUGCAGUGUACCCGCGGCAAGACGGAAAGACCCCGUGAACCUUUACUAUAGCUUGACACUGAACAUUGAGCCUUGAUGUGUAGGAUAGGUGGGAGGCUUUGAAGUGUGGACGCCAGUCUGCAUGGAGCCGGCCUUGAAAUACCACCCUUUAAUGUUUGAUGUUCUAACGUUGACCCGUGAUCCGGGUUGCGGACAGUGUCUGGUGGGUAGUUUGACUGGGGCGGUCUCCUCCUAAAGAGUAACGGAGGAGCACGAAGGUUGGCUAAUCCUGGUCGGACAUCAGGAGGUUAGUGCAAUGGCAUAAGCCAGCUUGACUGCGAGCGUGACGGCGCGAGCAGGUGCGAAAGCAGGUCAUAGUGAUCCGGUGGUUCUGAAUGGAAGGGCCAUCGCUCAACGGAUAAAAGGUACUCCGGGGAUAACAGGCUGAUACCGCCCAAGAGUUCAUAUCGACGGCGGUGUUUGGCACCUCGAUGUCGGCUCAUCACAUCCUGGGGCUGAAGUAGGUCCCAAGGGUAUGGCUGUUCGCCAUUUAAAGUGGUACGCGAGCUGGGUUUAGAACGUCGUGAGACAGUUCGGUCCCUAUCUGCCGUGGGCGCUGGAGAACUGAGGGGGGCUGCUCCUAGUACGAGAGGACCGGAGUGGACGCAUCACUGGUGUUCGGGUUGUCAUGCCAAUGGCACUGCCCGGUAGCUAAAUGCGGAAGAGAUAAGUGCUGAAAGCAUCUAAGCACGAAACUUGCCCCGAGAUGAGUUCUCCCUGACUCCUUGAGAGUCCUGAAGGAACGUUGAAGACGACGACGUUGAUAGGCCGGGUGUGUAAGCGCAGCGAUGCGUUGAGCUAACCGGUACUAAUGAACCGUGAGGCUUAACCUU